rnacentral:rRNA from 1 species
AACAGGAUUAGAUACCCUGGUAGUCCACGCUGUAAACGAUGUCGACUUGGAGGUUGUGCCCUUGAGGCGUGGCUUCCGGAGCUAACGCGUUAAAUCGACCGCCUGGGGAGUACGGCCGCAAGGUUAAAACUCAAAUGAAUUGACGGGGGCCCGCACAAGCGGUGGAGCAUGUGGUUUAAUUCGAUGCAACGCGAAGAACCUUACCUACUCUUGACAUCCAGAGAACUUUCCAGAGAUGGAUCGGUGCCUUCGGGAACUCUGAGACAGGUGCUGCAUGGCUGUCGUCAGCUCGUGUUGUGAAAUGUUGGGUUAAGUCCCGCAACGAGCGCAACCCUUAUCCUUUGUUGCCAGCGGUUCGGCCGGGAACUCAAAGGAGACUGCCAGUGAUAAACUGGAGGAAGGUGGGGAUGACGUCAAGUCAUCAUGGCCCUUACGAGUAGGGCUACACACGUGCUACAAUGGCGUAUACAAAGAGAAGCGACCUCGCGAGAGCAAGCGGACCUCAUAAAGUACGUCGUAGUCCGGAUUGGAGUCUGCAACUCGACUCCAUGAAGUCGGAAUCGCUAGUAAUCGUAGAUCAGAAUGCUACGGUGAAUACGUUCCCGGGCCUUGUACACACCGCCCGUCACACCAUGGGAGUGGGUUGCAAAAGAAGUAGGUAGCUUAACCUUCGGGAGGGCGCUUACCACUUUGUGAUUCAUGACUGGGGUGAAGUCGUAACAAGGUAACCGUAGGGGAACCUGCGGCUGGAUCACCUCCUU